rnacentral:rRNA from 1 species
AAUAGAUACCCUGGUAGUCCACGCCGUAAACGAUGUCGACUUGGAGGUUGUUCCCUUGAGGAGUGGCUUCCGGAGCUAACGCGUUAAGUCGACCGCCUGGGGAGUACGGCCGCAAGGUUAAAACUCAAAUGAAUUGACGGGGGGCCCGCACAAGCGGUGGAGCAUGUGGUUUAAUUCGAUGCAACGCGAAGAACCUUACCUACUCUUGACAUCCAGAGAACUUAGCAGAGAUGCUUUGGUGCCUUCGGGAACUCUGAGACAGGUGCUGCAUGGCUGUCGUCAGCUCGUGUUGUGAAAUGUUGGGUUAAGUCCCGCAACGAGCGCAACCCUUAUCCUUUGUUGCCAGCGGUUCGGCCGGGAACUCAAAGGAGACUGCCAGUGAUAAACUGGAGGAAGGUGGGGAUGACGUCAAGUCAUCAUGGCCCUUACGAGUAGGGCUACACACGUGCUACAAUGGCGUAUACAAAGAGAAGCGACCUCGCGAGAGCAAGCGGACCUCAUAAAGUACGUCGUAGUCCGGAUUGGAGU